rnacentral:rRNA from 1 species
AUUGAACGCUGGCGGCGGGCCUAACACAUGCAAGUCGAGCGAGCGGCGGACGGGUGAGUAAUGUCUGGGGAACUGCCUGUUGGCGGGGGAUAACUACUGGAAACGGUAGCUAAUACCGCAUUCCAUCAGAUGUGCCCAGAUGGGAUUAGCUUGUAGGUGGGGUAAUGGCCCACCUAGGCGACGAUCCCUAGCUGGUCUGAGAGGAUGACCAGCGACAGUUGAACGGGGACACGGUCAAGACUCCUACGGGAGGCAGCAGUGGGGAAUGUUGGGCAAUGGGGGCAAUCCUGAUACAGCCAGCCCGAGUGUGAGACGAAGGCCUUGGGGUUGUAAAGAACUUUCUGCGGGGAAGCGUUACCCGCAGAAGAAGCACCGGCUAACUCCGUGCCAGCAGCCGCGGUAAUAC